UACGGAGGGGACUAGCGUUGUUCGGAAUUACUGGGCGUAAAGCGCGUGUAGGCGGCCCGGUAAGUCCGCUGUGAAAGUCGGGGGCUCAACCCUCGGAUGCCGGUGGAUACUGUCGGGCUCGAGUACGGAAGAGGCGAGUGGAAUUCCUGGUGUAGCGGUGGAAUGCGCAGAUAUCAGGAGGAACACCAAUAGCGAAGGCAGCUCGCUGGGACGGUACUGACGCUAAGGCGCGAAAGCGUGGGGAGCGAACAGG
rnacentral:rRNA from 1 species